rnacentral:lncRNA from 1 species
ACACAGAGGUGAAGCAGCUUCCCCAAAGGCGCAUGGCUAAGAGUGGUUAUUUGUCUCCUUGUCACGCUGUUUUGAGGGAAGGAUUCCUACACUAGGAUUAUGAAGAUCGCCAAACAGAUGACGCUGGAUCCCAGAAAAGUGGGGCAGAAUGCAGUUUAGUUGUCACAUAUGCUCACAGCCUAGGGAAGAAGACAGCGGACAGCCCACAGGGCCACGCGAUGGUUCAAGAACAGAGUGAACAGCCAGGGCCUGUGAAAGGGAGGAAUCUCCCAGUGUUUGUGCCAUGUUUUGAUCUGACUGAAAGCCAUAAACAUAGCCGAAGCCUGGGCCAUCCACAGAAGACCCAAUGUUCUCUUUUUCCAAGUGGGCAUUUUGUAUCUCUGAAGAGUUCUAGACUGAGCUACAUCAGUAGACCUCUGCAUUUAAAGGGAGCAAUUCUCAUCCGAGGAUCCUGAUUCUUCUACUGUAGUGCAAUUUCACCACUCUCUCCAAAUGUCUCCAAGCAAAUUCAAAGCAGCUGAAAAUAACUGCAUGCCUGAGAUUUGGAGAGUAUCAGAGUCUGAAAUGAAGACAACUUGAGGGUCAAUAAACAGGAAGAAAAAGUACUCUACAAGACAGUUUAUCUGAUAACGGUAUGAUGGAAGAUGGCAUCAGGCGGAGGGACCACGAAGCUUCAGGCCAGCCCUGUCCCGAAGUCUUCUGUGCUUCAUGUCGAGUGGUCUGCAGUGGACUGUGUCUGCUUGAAGCGAUGCUCCGGAGGGCUUAUUGUUGUGUGGGGUAAAGCAUGAGAUCACUGAAAAAUGAGAGAAAUCGAGCAUACGAAA